rnacentral:rRNA from 1 species
UACGGGGGGGGCAAGCGUUGUUCGGAAUUAUUGGGCGUAAAGGGCGCGUAGGCGGCUUGGCAAGUGGAUGGUGAAAUCCCUCGGCUUAACCGAGGAACUGCCAUCCAGACUGCUUUGCUUGAGGCUGGGAGAGGUGAGUGGAAUUCCCAGUGUAGCGGUGAAAUGCGUAGAUAUCGGAAGGAACAUCAGUGGCGAAAGCGACUUCCUGGACCAGUACCGACGUUCAGGCACGAAAGCGUGGGGAGCAAACAGG